rnacentral:rRNA from 1 species
CCCAGGUUAAGGGCGCAUCUAAGUAGGGGGAGGAGUUCUCAAGGAGCUCAGGUACUGUGACUCCGCUAAAAGGGACGCGGGAACGGGACUCCGACACCCCAUGUGUACCUUACCAUGUUGCUUUGGCGGGCCGACCCGGUUUCGACCCGGGCGGCCGGCGCCCCCAGCCCAGACUGGGCCAGGACGCCCGGCUAAGCGCCCGCCAGUAUACAAAACUUCCAGCGAUUAUUGGGUGCAGUCCUGAUGAAUUUAUUCAAUGAAUUAAAACUUUCAACAACGGAUCUCUUGGUUCUGGCAUCGAUGAAGAACGCAGCGAAAUGCGAUAAGUAAUGUGAAUUGCAGAAUUCAGUGAAUCAUCGAAUCUUUGAACGCACAUUGCGCCCUCUGGUAUUCCGGAGGGCAUGCCUGUUCGAGCGUCAUUAAAACCCUCAGCUCUGCUUGGUAUUGGGCGACGUCCGCUGCCGGACGCGCCUCGAAAGACUCGGCGAUGGCGCCUCAGCCUCGAGCGUAGUAUUACAUCUCGCUUUGGAGGACUGGGUGCUGGCCGCCCGACAACCGACCUUCGGUCUAUUUUUCCAAGGUUGACCUCGGAUCAGGUAGGGUUACCGCUGAACUUAGCAUAUAAUAGGGGGGGGGAA